AUGCUUCGGCAGCACAUAUACUAGAAUUGGAAUGAUACAGAGAAGAUUAGUAUGGCCCCUGCGAAAGAAUGACAUGCCCAUUCCAUAUGCCAGGCAUCAUCCC